rnacentral:rRNA from 1 species
AUGGCUCUCCGCCGCGCCAUCGGAUCCCUUGUCGUUCGCUCCCAGGCCUACUACCUCCGCCGCGCUGCGGCCUCACCUCCGCCGUCCUUCAGCCGCCCGAUCAUCCCCUACCGGUCCUUCGCCGCUCCGCCUCAGCAUGCCAAGAAGGUCACCAAGGGCGACGACGCCGACGCCGGGCCCAGGAUCAACAACGACAUCACCGCUCCCUUCCUCAGGCUCGUCACCGACGAAGGGCAUAGCGUUGUCCCCAGGCAUGAGGCUCUUCAGCUCGCUGCCAGGAUGGGCUUGGACUUGGUUGAGGUCCACAGAAAAACAGAUCCUCCUGUUUGCAAGAUCAUGGACUUUCACAAAGAGAAGUAUAACAAAGAUGUCAAGGAGAAAGAACGCUUAAAAACCAAGUCUGCUAUUGUCUUGCGUGGUGGAGAUAAUAAAGAAGUGCGGUUUAAGGCGAAAACAGAAAUUAAAGACUUGAAGGUGAAAGCAGAUGCAAUUACCAGGCUAAUGGAGCGUGGUUACAGGGUGAAGUGCAUGGCAAUGCCCUCAGGUAAUGAAGCAGAAGAUUUAGGCGGACCGCUAUCUCGGCUGUUAGGACUUAUACAAGAUGUCUGUAUUGUGGAAAGUGGGCCACAUUUGGACUCCAAGCAUGCAUAUGUUAUUGUCAGGCAUGUGAAGUUUGCAACCAAGAAAGGUGGAAAGAAAGCUAGCAAGGCCAUGGAAGACGCGGCCAAAGGCACCCCCCACAACACUGCCUCUGAAUCACCAGCCACUGCUACUUAUAGUGGGGACAAGACAAGUGAACAUGGUUUGGAAGUUGAGGAUGUUGACAAAACGCCAGCCUAUCUCUCUCGUGAAUCUUUGGCGCAAAAAGAAAGGCAAGAUAGAGGCGUUGGAAGCAGCAACCGCGAUAACAUGGACAACAUGAGUGCUGGAGGAAACAGGAUUAACCCUGGUCAGGGGGGAUCACAAUCAUCCAAAAGUGGACUUGGUUCUAGGAGUGGAAAUUCUCACAUGGAAAAGCAAGAGAGGACUAAUCAGGAUAUGGUACCUGAGCAAACCAACAGGUAUGCCAGCCGUAGAAAUCAGGUGGGAGGUGACAACCAAGGCAGACCCCCGCAGGACCCGAGAAGAAAUGAGAAUGAAGGCCGCAACCGUUUCAACGACAAUCGAAGGCCUUUGGAACAGCCUAGCCCGCCACCGCCACCGCCAAGGUUCAGCCAAGGCAGACCCCCACAGGACCCGAGAAGAAACGAAAAUGAAGCCCGUCACCGGUUCAACGACAAGCAGAGGCCUUUGGUACAGCCUAGCCCGCCAUCGCCAAGGUUGAGCCAAGGCCGACCCCCACAGGACCCGAGAAGAAACGAGAGAGGAAGCCAUGCCCCAUCGAAUAACAACCAGGUGCCGCGAUUCCAACAAUCGAAUCAGAACAGUGGACCACUAGCAGGCCGGGACGCAGGGAGUCCGACUCCGACAGCCAGGAGUUUGGGCGUCUUCAGCAGCCGAACGCCAGCCACAACAUCCGAGCCGAAGAAGGCAGAUGGCGCUCCCGCUGCUGGUAAGCCUUCCGACCCCGGUCCGACCAAAAGCUUUGGAAUAUUUAGUACUCCCAGAAAGUGA